GCUGCCAUCCAGGGACCCCACAGCACCGUGACUUGCCCAAAGCCUGGCAGAGCAGAGCAGCCCCUGCCGCCUGCACUCCGGACGCCAGGGCCCACUUACCAUACACACCCACCGUGAACUCGCGAGUCUGCCGGGGGACCCCUGCCCGGAUGACCUCAGCCGUGUAGACCCCUGCAUCGUCCAGCUGGGCAGAGGCGAGCUCCAGAACCCCCCGGGCCUGGUCAAAUCGCAGGCGGUCUCGGGACUGAUCCGGAAGUUUCCAGCUGGGAGGUUUGAUGGAGGGAACCUCUGCACCCAGCCCCUGGGAAGAGCUCUUUGAGUCCGAAGAGAAGGCAGAGGAGAAGUUGGUUUGCUGAAGUCCAGAAGAGGCUCUGAGGGGGGAAGAUGGAGAAAACAUUCCCAGCUAAAAAUGUGGUAGCAAGUUUGUGGGACAAAGCCAGGAAGACUUCCUGGAGGAGGGACACUCCCUCAUGGAACCCAGCCGCCACACUGGGAGGAAACUCAGCAGUCCCAUGGAGGGGAAUCACGGCCCCUGGUCAGCAGCCCCAGCCAGCUUGCUGGCCAUGUGGGUGAGCCCUCUUGGAAGCCAAUCCCCUGGCCCCAUUUGAGGCACCUGAACUGAUCCUGCACAGAGAGACAAGCUGCCCCUGCUGAGCCCUGCCCAGAUUCCAGACU